GAAAUGCGAUAAGUAAUGUGAAUUGCAGAAUUCAGUGAAUCAUCGAAUCUUUGAACGCACCUUGCGCUCCUUGGUAUUCCUUGGAGCAUGCCUGUUUGAGUAUCAUGAAAUCUUCAAAGUAAAUCUGUUGUUAACUCAAUUGGUUUCUACUUUGGUAUUGGAGGUCUUUGCAGCUUCACACCUGCUCCUCUUUGUUCAUUAGCUGGAUCUCAGUGUUAUGCUUGGUUCCACUCGGCGUGAUAAGUUAUCUAUCGCUGAGGACACUGUAAAGGGUGGCCAAGGUAAAUGCAGAUGAACCGCUUCUAAUAGUCCAUUGACUUGGACAAUACUUUUAUGAUCUGAUCUCAAAUCAGGUAGGACUACCCGCUGAACUUAAGC
rnacentral:misc_RNA from 1 species